rnacentral:tRNA from 1 species
GCAGACGUAGCCUAGCUGGUAAGACGCCGGCCUUGAGAGCCGGUGCGCGUAAGCGCUCGGGGGUUCGAAUCCCUCCGUCUGCG